rnacentral:rRNA from 1 species
UACGUAGGGGGCGAGCGUUGUCCGGAUUUAUUGGGCGUAAAGAGCUCGUAGGCGGUUCGAUAAGUCGGACGUGAAAUCUCCACGCUCAACGUGGAGGGGCCGUUCGAUACUGUCGUGACUCGAGUCCGGUAGGGGAGUGUGGAAUUCCCGGUGUAGCGGUGAAAUGCGCAGAUAUCAGGAAGAACACCCGUGGCUAAGGCGGCUCUCUAGUACGGUACUGACGCUGAGGCGCGAAAGCGUGGGGAGCAAACAGG